UACGGAGGGUGCUAGCGUUGUUCGGAAUCACUGGGCGUAAAGCGCGUGUAGGCGGCCCAUUAAGUCUGAUGUGAAAGCCCGGGGCUCACCCCCGGAAGUGCAUUGGAGACUGAUGGGCUGGAGUCCCGGAGAGGAGGGUGGAAUUCCUGGUGUAGCGGUGAAAUGCGUAGAUAUCAGGAGGAACGCCGGUGGCGAAGGCGGCCCUCUGGACGGUGACUGACGCUGAGACGCGAAAGCGUGGGGAGCAAACAGG
rnacentral:rRNA from 1 species